rnacentral:rRNA from 1 species
UACGUAGGGGGCGAGCGUUGUCCGGAGUUACUGGGCGUAAAGCGCACGCAGGCGGUCGCAGAGGUGUGGGGUGACAGUGGUCGGCUUAGCUGACCAAGUGCCUCGCAAACGCUGCGACUUGGAGGGCCACAGAGGGACAUGGAACUCCAGGUGUAGUGGUGAAAUGCGUAGAUAUCUGGAAGAACACCAAAGGCGAAGGCAGUGUCCUGGGUGGUACCUGACGCUGAUGUGCGAAAGCCAGGGGAGCGAACGGGG